GUGGGGAAUAUUGCACAAUGGGCGCAAGCCUGAUGCAGCGACGCCGCGUGAGGGAUGGAGGCCUUCGGGUUGUAAACCUCUUUUAUCGGGGAGCAAGCGAGAGUGAGUUUACCCGUUGAAUAAGCACCGGCUAACUACGUGCCAGCAGCCGCGGUAAUACGUAGGGUGCAAGCGUUAUCCGGAAUUAUUGGGCGUAAAGGGCUCGUAGGCGGUUCGUCGCGUCCGGUGUGAAAGUCCAUUGCUUAACGGUGGAUCCGCGCCGGGUACGGGCGGGCUUGAGUGCGGUAGGGGAGACUGGAAUUCCCGGUGUAACGGUGGAAUGUGUAGAUAUCGGGAAGAACACCAAUGGCGAAGGCAGGUCUCUGGGCCGUUACUGACGCUGAGGAGCGAAAGCGUGGGGAGCGAACAGGAUUAGAUACCCGGGUAGUCC
rnacentral:rRNA from 1 species